rnacentral:lncRNA from 1 species
AGUUUUGGGCUUUUGCAAAAACAGGUCACCUUCUUCGUUUUUGCAGAUUCGGUCCGUUUUUUCAGCCGCCUGACCAAAAUACCCUUAUUACUUUUUCUAUCUUCUCUUUCUCUCUCCUCUUUUUUUCUCUCGUUUAUUUUUUUUCUCUCCCUGAAGAGACAGCGGAGGCAGAGGCUGAAGCGGAAACGGCCCGUCUCGCCUCUCACCCUCAUACUCUCGCCCUCGCCCUCGCACCCCCCACCUUCCUCACCUCUGACCCCACCGAGGCCGCGCCGCAACUCUUUUUUUUUCCUCUCCGACUCUCCUCCACCAUCUCCGACGACGACGCUUCUCUCGCCCUUCCCCGCCCUUCUCGUCCUCUCCGUCUCCCUCCUCCUUUGCCGCCUUCGAUGACGAC